rnacentral:lncRNA from 1 species
ACUUCUAUUGCAAGCAGACUUCAUCCAAGUUUCUACGGUAAGUGGACUUCGUCCGAGCUUCUACAAUAAGCGAUCUCCAUCCGGGCUUCCAUGGCAACCGGUCUCCAUCCGAGCUUCUAUAGUAAACGACCUCCUUUCGGACUCCUACAAGAACCAGACUCUGUCUGAACUUCUACAGUGAAUGGAUUCCAAACGAACUUCU